rnacentral:lncRNA from 1 species
AGGAGUACCUGGCCGUGUGAGGUGUCAGUCUGCCCCUACUGGGGGGUGCCUCCCAGUCAGGGGCAGGGACCCACUUGAGGAGGCAGUCUGCUCCUUCUCAGAUCUCCAGCUGCAUGCUGGGAGAACCACUGCUCUCUUCAAAGCAGUCAGACAGGGACAUUUAAGUCUGCAGAGGUUACUGCUGUCUUUUUGUCUGUGCCCUGCCCCCAGAGGUGGAGCCUACAAAGGCAGGCAGGCCUCCUUUUGCUGUGGUGAGCUCCACCCAGUUCGAGCUUCCUGGCUGCUUUGUUGACCUGAGCAAGCCUGGGCAAUGGCGGGUGUCCCUCCCCCAGCUUAGCUGCCACCUUGCAGUUUGAUAUGAGACUGCUGUGCUAGCAAUCAGUGAGACUCCGUGGGUGUACGACCCUCCAAGCCAGGUGCAGGCUAUAAUCUCCUGGUGUGCCAUUUUUUAAGCCCAUUGGAAAAGUGCAGUAUUAGGGUGGGAGUGACCCGAUUUUCCAGGUGCCAUCUGUCACCCCUUUCUUUGACUAGGAAAUGGAACUCCCUGACCCCUUGCACUUCCCGAGUGAGGCAAUGCCUCGUCCUGCUUUGGCUCGCGCAUGGUGCGCUGCUCCCAGUGCCCUGCGCCCACUGUCUGGCACUCCCUAGUGAGAUGAACCCCGUACCUCAGAUGGAAAUGCAGAAAUCACUCAUCUUCUGUGUCACUCAGGCUGGGAGCUGUGGACCGGAGCUGUUUGUAUUCGGCCAUCUUGGCUGCCCUCGUCUCUCCUUAUGAUAAAUAUUCUGUGCUGUACUUAAAGAGUGCUGAGCCGCAGUGAAAAGCAAUGAGAGCACCAUACAUGUUCUCUGUUCCAGUUGCCCCACUCUGCCAUUGCAGCACAGAGACAGCCAUGGACGAUAUGUGCUGUUUUAGGACGUGAGAGUACACCCAAAACAAAAAUGGACAGAAAUUCCAGUCUCAUAAAUGUGAGAGAUCCAGAAGAUACUUCUACAAUUUCCCUUCAGUUACAUAUGGACACUUUAAUAAAAGAAUAUUAUUUUUAAGUGAAAAAACUUAAGCUUAUUCCUCAAGGUUCUAAAAUUUCAAUCAACUAUGGAAGUGAAAAUUUCCUGAUAUUUUCUAUGCAUAUGAAUUUAGUCCCACUCUCUUUGGUUUAUACAAAAGGAACUUGUAUCAGUUUGUUAAAUCACAGCCUUAGAAAUUAAGAAUUAAUGUUCAGGAUUAGAGAGCUAUAGGGUCUCAUAUUUUGGUUUUAUUUUGUAAGAAAGUAAUAAAGGUCAUUGUAGUAAAAGCUGCCAAUUAAGGCUAAUUCUAGAAGUCAGGACCUCAGUUUUAUUUUCUAUAGUAUCGUAUGCUUCUUCCCUUUCUACUUGUAAAUUUAUUUUUAUUUCCUAAUGCAUAAUUUUCUAAAACAUUAGUAAUCAUUAAAAUUCUUAUAGCAUGAAAUAAAAAAGUUCUCUUUCACAACAAAGCACUCUCCUAUGAUAUAUUUUCUUAUUUCUUAAAAAAGUUUUUAUAAAAUACACGUACUUCACAAGUAACUGUGUUCAGGUGAGAAGCAAGAUAAUAACAAUGGUUAAGUGAAAAUAUGCAGGACUCAGAAAUCCUGGGUUCAUCUACAUCCUAACUUGACCACCGCCUGGCCACACUGUGUUACUUAACUUGUGUGCAUCACGUAUUUUUUUUUUCAUUCUUAGAAUAAGGGAAAUAAUCUCUUACAGUAUUAUCAUGAAAAUUAAAUGUGUUUAUACACAAGAGCACUUAUUUUAAAAAUACCAAAAGAUAAUAAACAAUAAACAGAAUAGACUAAGGCCUAACAGUUCUUUUUUCUUUUUUUGAGACAAUUUCACUCUGUCACCCAGGCUGAAGUGCAGUGGCACAAUCUCUGCUCACUGCGACCUCCACCUCCCGGGUUCAAGCGAUUCCCCUGCCUCAGCCUACUGAGUAGCUGGGACUUUAGAUGUGGGCGACUUUAAGUGCAUGCUACCAUGCCCAACUAAUUUUUGUAUUUUUAGUAGAGACGUGGUUUUGCCACGUUGGCCAGGCCAGUCUUGAACUCCUGACCUCAAGUGAUCCACCUGCCUCGGCCUCCCAAAGUACUAGGAUUACAGGCAUGAGCCACUGUUCCUGGUCAGGUCUCACAAUUCUUAUGGAGAAGUGAGUCAACCAGUUGUGAUAUUUAUUCAGUGUCUAUUGUGAUUAGAUAAUGUAAAAAAGAAAUUAGAGAUAAAGCAAAAGGGAAGUAUCUCUGAAUUUGAGAAUCUGAAUGAGAAGAGAAUCAUUGAAGUAUUCACACAUACAACAGAUAUAGUAACAUAAGUAUACAGUGGGCAUAUUUUUACACAUUACUGAUGUAUCACCUACAUAUCAUAAAAUUUACACAUUUUUAAGUGUAAAAUGUAAUGCCUUUUAGAAAACUUACAAAGUUGUACGAUCACACUACAAUCCAAUUGUAAUAUAUUUUUAUCACUCCAAACAGUUCAGUUAAUCCACAUUCCCGCUCCCAGUCUUAGUCAAUUAACAAUUUGGUUUCUGUCUCUAUAGAUUUACCUCUUCUGAGCAUAUCAUAUGAAAGAAAACAUAAUAUGAAGCUUUAGGAGCCUGUUUUCUUUCAUGUAGAAUACUAUUUUUGUGGGUCAUUAUAGUUUGUAUCAACUUGUCUUUAUAUUACUGAAUAAUACUCCAGUGUGUGGUUAUAUUACAUUUUGUUCAUUUACUAGUUGACAAAUACUUGGACUAUUUCCACCUUUUUGUGAAUAAGGCUGCUAUGAGCAUUUAUAUACAAGUCUUUUAGUGGACAUAUGUUUUUAUUUUUCUUGGGUUGAUUCCUAGUCAUGGACUUGCUAUGUUGUUUGGUAUAUUUAUGUAUAACUUUUUAAAAUAUUUUCCAAAAUGUCUCUGUCAUUUUAUAUUUCUACUAGUAUAUAUGAGGAGUCCAUUUCUUCUAUAUCCUUACUGUGCUAUUAUUAGAUGACUUUUUAUUAUUAUAACCAUUCUAAUUGUAGAUUUAAUUUGCAUUUUAUUAGUGAAUAAUGAUGUUGAGUGUUAUUUAAUGUGCUUACUAGAUAUUUGCAUGACUUGGUGAAAAGUCUAUUAAAGGCUGGGCAUGGUGGUUCAUGCCUGUAAUUUUAGCACUUUGAGAGGCCAUGGUAGGCAGAUUGCUUGAGCCCAGAAGUUCGAGAACAACCUGAGCAACAUAUCUAAACUCUGCCUGCAAAAAAUACAAAAAUUAGCUGAGUGUGGUGGGCACAUACCUGUAGUCCCAGCUACUAGGGAGGCUCAGCUAUGAAGAUUGUUUUAACCCAGGGGGUUGAGGCUGCAGUGAGCCAUGAGCAUGCCAUUGCACUCCAGCCUGGGCAACAGAGCAAGACCCUGUCUAAGAAAAGAAAAAAAGGCUAUUAAAGUUAUUUAAUCAUUUUUAAUUAAUUUGUUUGUCUUAAUAAUGAGUAGUGGAAGAUUUCGUAUAUUUUGAAUACAUUAUAAUAUGUUAACAUAUGUUAAUACAUGUUUUAAAAUUAUCUCUCCCAGUCUAAGCCUUAUUUUUCAUUUUCUUAAUGGUUUCUUUUGAAGUGCAACUUUUAAAAUUAUUUUGAAGCUCAACUUUUAAAAUUAUUUUGAAGCCAAAUUUACCAAGAUUUUUUUUUAUGGAUUGUGUUUUUAGUUUCGUAUCUACUAAUUAUUUGUCAACUAAAGGUAAUAAAGAUUUUCUCCUAUAUUUUAUUCUGAAAGUUUUAUAAUUUGGGCUUUUACAUUUCAGGUUAUUUUGAAUUUAGUGUGAAGUAAGGAUCUAAAGUCAUCUUUUUGCAUGCCUGUGUCCAGUUAUGCUAGCACCAUUUGUUGAAAAGAGUGUCCUUUCUCCUAUUAAAUGGUCUUGGCUUCUUUCUUAGAAAAUCAAUUGACUGUAAAUGUAAGAGUUUAUUUCUGGUGCUCUCAAUUCUGCUCCAUUGAUCUAUGUCUAUCCUUACACUAGUACCAUGAUGUUUAAUUAUUAUAGUUUUUAAGUAAAUUUGAAAUGGGAAAGUUUAGAUCCACAAGCUUUGCUUUUUUCAAAAUUACUUUGGCUAUUCUGGGUCCUUUGCAUUUCCAUAUAAAUUUUAAGAUCGGCUUGGCAAUUUAUGUCCCCACCAACACACACAAAACAGCCUGCUGAGAUGUUUAUUAUGAUUACACUGAAUCUAUAAAUCAAUCAGGGAAGCUUUACCAUGUUAACAACAUUGUCUUCCAAUUAAUAAGUCUGGAAUUUUUCUCCAUUUAUUUAGAUCCUAUUUUAUAGUUUAUUAGCAAUAUUUUAUAGUUUGCAGUACACAAGUGUUGUGCUUUAUUCAUUAAAUUUAUUUCUAUUUUGUUCAAUUGGUCCUUUUUCUUCAACAUUGAUUUUAAUUUUGGGAGCACACGUGCAGGAUGUACAGGUUUGUUACAUAAGUAAACGUGUGCCAUGCUGGUUUGCUGCACAGAUCAACCCAUCAUGUACUUAUUUAGCCCAGCAUCCGUUAGCUAAUCUUCCUGAGUCUCUCUCUCCCCCUACCCUCUAAGAGGCCCCACUGUGUGUUGUUUCCCACAAUGCGUCGUCCUUCAGCUCCUCCUUAUAAGUGAGAACAUGUGGUGUUUUGUUUUCUGUUUCUGCAUUCAUUUGCUGGGUAUCACGACUUCCAGCUCCAACCGUGUUUCUACAAAGGACAUGAUCUUGUUCCUUCUUAUGGCUGCAUAGUAUUCCCUUGUGUAUAUGUACCACACUUUCUUUAUGCAGUCUAUCAAUAAUGAGCAUUCGAGUUGAUUCUGUGUCUUUGCUAUUGUGGAUAGUGCUGCAAUAAAGUACGUGUGCAUGUAUCUUUAUAACAGAAUGAUUUAUUUUCCUUUGGGUAUAUACCCAGUAAUGGGAUUACUGAGUCAAAUGGUAUUUCUGCCUCUUAAGUCUUUGAGGAAUCACCACACUGCCUUCCACAAUAGUUGAACUAAUUUAUACUCCCACCAACAGUGUAAAAGCAUUCCUUUCCCUCUGUGUG